CAGAUGUGUCUACAGGGAAGACUUCUCCAGCUUCUCCAGCUGCUACCUUGGAUGCUGCACUCAAGCCCAGCUCCCAUCUCAGGGGUACUCCAACAGGGAAAAUCCAAGAUGCAACAGAUAAGAUAUCCCUGGAACCAUCCAAACAGAUGAGGCAAGAGCUGAAGGAACCCCUGCAGACAAGAGAAGAGAUGGACAUAGUGCUUCAGUGGAAGGUGGUAUUUCUUGAAGGAAGCACUCCAUCUUCGGUGCCAG